AUUUAUUCUUCAAACUAAAGAUUAUAUCCAUUCAUGUGAACACAGGAUAGUUGGUAAAUGUUUGACAGAGAAUGUUGCUGCUAUAAUGAGGAAAGUGGGCAGUUCCUUAGACAAAGGAAGGCAAAAUGAGAAGGCUGCACCUCCAUAAACCUUAGUGUACAUCAGGACCAGAUUAACGAUGCUCAGGGCUCCCUCAUAGAGGCUUUGGCUUUGUUCUGUGAUCUGUGUGGUGGCUGCAUUUUGUGUGGAGGAAAGUUUUGAGUGAAUGUGAUUUAUUUAUGCUUACAUUUCCUAAGUGGUCCAGUAACAGAGCAUUUUGGUUUGCAUUACUGUAAGGUGCAUAUUACAUUAAGAGCUCUCUUGUGGUUCAUGCUCUCAGCUAAUGACUCAGAGCUCUGGAUGUGGUGCCUUGAGUUACUGAGAUUGACCAAAAGGACCGCCGUGGAGCUUGGAAAUUGAUCAGCACCCAAUGAAGGUACAGACUAUGAAGCUCCCUCAAACAGGUGAAGAGCCUCAGGGCUGAGCCGAAUGGGCUUUUUGAUUUUCCUGCCAGCUCAAUAAGGCCUCCGUCACAGCCAAUGUCAGAGCUCCAGGCCUCGAUAAGGGAUCACUGGACUCCUGUCUAGCUGCGUAUGCUGAGUUAUAGGU